rnacentral:rRNA from 1 species
AUUGAACGCUGGCGGGAUGCCUAACACAUGCAAGUCGAACGAGUGGCGGACGGGUGAGUAAUGUCUGGGAAAAUGCCUGAUGGCGGGGGAUAACUACUGGAAACAGUAGCUAAUACCGCAUACUAUUGGAUGUGCCAAGAUGGGAUUAGCUAGUAGGUGGGUUAAAGGCUCACCUAGGCAACGAUCCGUAGCUGGUCUGAGAGGAUGACCAGCCACACUGGGACUGAGACACGGUCCAGACUCCUACGGGAGGCAGCAGUGGGGAAUAUUGGACAAGGGGCGAAAGCCUGAUGCAGCCAUGCCGCGUGUAUGAAGAUGGCCGUCGGGUUGUAAAGUACUUUCGGCAGGGAAGCGGUACCCGCAGAAGAAGCACCGGCUAACUCCGUGCCAGCAGCCGCGGUAAUAC